rnacentral:rRNA from 1 species
UACGUAGGGUGCAAGCGUUGUCCGGAAUUAUUGGGCGUAAAGAGCUCGUAGGCGGCUUGUCGCGUCGGCUGUGAAAACCUGGGGCUCAACCCCGGGCCUGCAGCCGAUACGGGCAAGCUAGAAUUCGGUAGGGGAGACUGGAAUUCCUGGUGUAGCGGUGGAAAUGACGCAGAUAUCAGGAGGAACACCGGUGGCGAAGGCGGGUCUCUGGGCCGAUACUGACGCUGAGGAGCGAAAGCGUGGGGAGCGAACAGG